UACGUAGGGACCAAGCGUUGUUCGGAUUUACUGGGCGUAAAGGGCGCGUAGGCGGCAAUUCAAGUCAUCUGUGAAAUCUCCGGGCUUAACGUCGGAACGGUCAGAUGAUACUGCUUUUGCUCGAGUGCGGAAGGGGCAAUCGGAAUUCUUGGUGUAGCGGUGAAAUGCGUAGAUAUCAAGAGGAACACCUGAGGUGAAGACGGGUUGCUGGGCCGACACUGACGCUGAAGCGCGAAAGCCAGGGGAGCAAACGGG
rnacentral:rRNA from 1 species